rnacentral:tRNA from 1 species
GGGAGGCAGCAUUGGUAUGCGGGCGAGGCUUAUAUCCUUGUAAUUGCUCCAGAUUAGAGUGCGCGAGUCGGUUCGAUUCCGACGCCUCCUACCA